rnacentral:rRNA from 1 species
AGUGAACGCUGGCGGUAGGCCUAACACAUGCAAGUCGAACGGCAGCGCAGUAAGAGCUUGCUCUUACGGGUGGCGAGUGGCGGACGGGUGAGGAAUACAUCGGAAUCUACUUUUUCGUGGGGGAUAACGUAGGGAAACUUACGCUAAUACCGCAUACGACCUACGGGUGAAAGCAGGGGAUCUUCGGACCUUGCGCGAUUGAAUGAGCCGAUGUCGGAUUAGCUAGUUGGCGGGGUAAAGGCCCACCAAGGCGACGAUCCGUAGCUGGUCUGAGAGGAUGAUCAGCCACACUGGAACUGAGACACGGUCCAGACUCCUACGGGAGGCAGCAGUGGGGAAUAUUGGACAAUGGGCGCAAGCCUGAUCCAGCCAUACUGCGUGGGUGAAGAAGGCCUUCGGGUUGUAAAGCCCUUUUGUUGGGAAAGAAAAGCAGCAGGUUAAUACCCCGCUGUUCUGACGGUACCCAAAGAAUAAGCACCGGCUAACUUCGUG